UGUUACUGGGAUUUGUUACUGGGAUUUGUUACUGGGAUUUGUUACUGGGAUUUGUUACUGGGAUUUGUUACUGGGAUUUGUUACUGGGAUUUGUUACUGGGAUUUGUUACUGGGAUUUGUUACUGGGAUUUGUUACUGGGAUUUGUUACUGGGAUUUGUUACUGGGAUUUGUUACUGGGAUUUGUUACUGGGAUUUGUUACUGGGAUUUGUUACUGGGAUUUGUUACUGGGAUUUGUUACUGGGAUUUGUUACUGGGAUUUGUUACUGGGAUUUGUUACUGGGAUUUGUUACUGGGAUUUGUUACUGGGAUUUGUUACUGGGAUUUGUUACGGGAGGUGUAUCUCUCGCCUCUCAGACAUACAGCUAACUGGGAUGAGCACCAUGCGCGGGCUGGCAUUGGGAGGCAAAUCUCAAGUACUGAGACCAGCAGAGUGAAGUCAAACAAUCCCUUCAUUCCUCCUCCCCAAAGAGCAGCCUCUUGCUUCAUCACUCGAUUGCAAGUUUUCAUCUGGUAAAAAACACAGACCAUAGCUUAAGAUUUUGAUCCAGCAAGAGUGUGCAAAGAAUCGUCCUUGCCCUUCCCAAACAGGAUAAGCAGGAUUUAAACUUACAAAGUGUUAGCGAACCAUUACUUCUUAUUCAAUAUGAACAUGCCAGUCAGGUUUGAACUGGAUCAAAAGCCAGUACAAGCUUUUUUUUUUUCCUUCCCCACCUCACAUCCAGGUGUAGCUCAAUCACAUUCAGUUCUCAUCUCGGCUGCCGGCAGCACAGCAAUCUGACACUUCCAAACUCUGCAUUUGUUUGUGCUUAAACUAAAGGUGGGAAAGCGGCAGCAGCCACCCUGAACAUGCAGCAUGGACACUCACAAUGAACAAGGCCACAGAACAACCACUCAGUUCCCCCCCCCAAAUCAGAAUAAGCUUCCCUAAAAUAAAAAAAAAAUUAAAUAGCAACGGAUUAAAAACAUAGGUUAGGUGUCAAAAUUGCCAUCAGCUAAUUACAAACAGCCAACUCAACUCCUAACUUGCCUAUCAGCCAGCUUGCUGUUUGUAGGAUGAGAGAUAGGAAACAUUUUCCAAGAACAUACAAAAAAGGUAUGUACAGAUCUAUUCAAAACGCAGUAAAUAAGGUCUGCAGUGGUUCCAGGUUACUCUUGUCUCAGAUUUUCUCAAAAUAAAUGUGGGUGACUGGAGAAAUUUACUUGUCUAUUCUUCCAGCUUCCCACAGUACAACUGCAAUCAGCACCCAACCCACCAGAGGGCUCUGCUGCAGUCUGUUAGACUCCCCUCCUCGGAAGUUUGGCAAAGAUUAAAAUAAUUUAAAGAAUAAACUGGCUUUUUGCUUCAGCCAGUAAGUCUUUAAUUUAAAAAAAAAAAAAAAAAAA